AACGAACGCUGGCGGCAUGCCUAACACAUGCAAGUCGAACGGGAUCCGGACUUCGGUCCGGUGAGAGUGGCGGACGGGUGAGUAACACGUGGGAACCUGCCUUUUGGUUCGGGAUAACCGCGGGAAACUGCGGCUAAUACCGGAUGCUCCCGAGAGGGAAAAGAUUUAUCGCCAGAAGAGGGGCCCGCGUCCGAUUAGGUAGUUGGUGGGGUAAUGGCCUACCAAGCCGACGAUCGGUAGCUGGUCUGAGAGGAUGAUCAGCCACACUGGGACUGAGAUACGGCCCAGACUCCUACGGGAGGCAGCAGUGGGGAAUAUUGGACAAUGGGGGCAACCCUGAUCCAGCAAUGCCGCGUGAGUGAUGAAGGCCUUAGGGUUGUAAAGCUCUUUUGCCAGGGAAGAUGAUGACUGUACCUGGAGAAUAAGCCCCGGCUAACUUCGUGCCAGCAGCCGCGGU
rnacentral:rRNA from 1 species